rnacentral:misc_RNA from 1 species
GUGAAUCAUCGAAUCUUUGAACGCACAUUGCGCCCGCCAGUAUUCUGGCGGGCAUGCCUGUCUGAGCGUCGUUUCGACCCUCGCGCCCGGCUUCUGUCGGGGGCGGUGUUGGGGAUCGGCCACACCCUUUACCGGGCGGCCGUCCCCUAAAUCCAGUGGCGACCACGCUGUAGCCUCCCCUGCGUAGUACUAAAACCACCUCGCAGGCGGAGAGCGGUGCGGCCCGCCGUAAAACCCCCAACUUUUACAAGGUCGACCUCAGAUCAGGUAGGAAUACCCGCUGAACUUAAGCAUAUCAAUAAGCGGAGGA